rnacentral:rRNA from 1 species
CAUGCAGUCGACGCUGAAAGCCUGGUGCUUGCACCGGGUGGAUGAGUGGCGAACGGGUGAGUAACACGUGAGUAACCUGCCCCUGACUUCGGGAUAAGCCCGGGAAACUGGGUCUAAUACCGGAUACGACUGCCGGACGCAUGUCUGGUGGUGGAAAGUUUUUUCGGUUGGGGAUGGGCUCGCGGCCUAUCAGUUUGUUGGUGAGGUAAUGGCUCACCAAGACGACGACGGGUAGCCGGCCUGAGAGGGCGACCGGCCACACUGGGACUGAGACACGGCCCAGACUCCUACGGGAGGCAGCAGUGGGGAAUAUUGCACAAUGGGGGAAACCCUGAUGCAGCGACGCAGCGUGCGGGAUGACGGCCUUCGGGUUGUAAACCGCUUUCAGCAGGGAAGAAGCGCAAGUGACGGUACCUGCAGAAGAAGUACCGGCUAACUACGUGCCAGCAGCCGCGGUAAUACGUAGGGUACGAGCGUUGUCCGGAAUUAUUGGGCGUAAAGAGCUCGUAGGUGGUUGGUCACGUCUGCUGUGGAAACGCAACGCUUAACGUUGCGCGUGCAGUGGGUACGGGCUGACUAGAGUGCAGUAGGGGAGUCUGGAAUUCCUGGUGUAGCGGUGAAAUGCGCAGAUAUCAGGAGGAACACCGGUGGCGAAGGCGGGACUCUGGGCUGUAACUGACACUGAGGAGCGAAAGCAUGGGGAGCGAACAGGAUUAGAUACCCUGGUAGUCCAUGCCGUAAACGUUGGGCACUAGGUGUGGGGGGCAUUCCACGUUCUCCGCGCCGUAGCUAACGCAUUAAGUGCCCCGCCUGGGGAGUACGGUCGCAAGGCUAAAACUCAAAGGAAUUGACGGGGGCCCGCACAAGCGGCGGAGCAUGCGGAUUAAUUCGAUGCAACGCGAAGAACCUUACCAAGGCUUGACAUACACCCGGACCGUCCUGGAAACAGGUCCUCUUCUUUGAAGCUGGUGUACAGGUGGGUGCAUGGUUGUCGUCAGCUCGUGUCGUGAGAUGUUUGGGUUAAGUCCCGCAACGAGCGCAACCCUCGUUCUAUGUUGCCAGC